AUCUUUGUGGCCCUACACUGGAAACCAUCCAGUACAUCCAGGUCUCUCUUGUACUGUGAGGCCUAGAACUGGACCCAGUAUCCCAGAGGUGAAGACACAGAGGCCAGGUCUCAAGGAUAGAAAGCAGAUCCUCAAGGACAAAACAGCGCUAAAGGAUUCAAGACAGAAGGAAACUCGUCAUGAUUCUGUGAACAGAGGACACCUGCCAAGAAGGUAAACCCAUUUUACUUUGGGAUAUUACUCUAUAAGAAGUAAGAGUACACAUCAAUUACCAGCAGAACCUGCCUCAUCUACCAUCAAAAUGAAGUUCGCUGUUGUGCUUGCUCUCCUUGGAGUUCUCCUGGCUCCAACCCUUGCCGAGGAGAACGACAGGAGGGCCAACGGUGAAGGUCCACACCUUCCUCCACCCCAUGAGGAAGGUGCACGCCAUCCACACUUUUCACUCCGUGAUGAAGGUCCACACCAGCCACCCAGUGAUGAAAGUCCACACCAGCCACGCCUUGGUGAAAAUCCACACUAUCUAAUCCGCCGUGGAUAUCCACACCUUCCACACCGUCCACCCCACAGUGCAUUUCCAUUCCAUUCACGCCCUUAUUUUGGCACACAUAGGUUUGCCAUCAGGCCACCCAUGCACCCUAAUAACUGGCAAACCGUCUGGGAUACCAAGACUGGCUUCAUCGCAACCAAGGUACUGGGAAAAAACACCUGCAUCAUUAGCAAAGCUGACACAGGAUUUAAUGGAUUUGAGGGAGCUACCUCCCCUGGGUUCCUUCCACCCAUAGAGCAUCGUUACGUGAUCUCAAACAACAGACUCCUGAACCUGUACCCAUAUGGAGCACGCAUUCAAAGACUGUGCAGUGGAGUUCCCACUUACUUUGCUUUCCCAUCUCCUGCGUCCAACUUCUUAGAGGAUGAUGCCUCAUGCAUCAGAAAUAUGUUCAGAAACAUGUAUCUCGUUUACUGCAACUUAUAAAUUUCUCCUGAUGAAAUUUUGAGGAAGAAAAUACAUAGAUCUGCAUACCCAUGAAGAAGCCUUUCUCCUUGAUGAUCUCAUCUUGAUCACAGUGUCUAUCAUGUAUCUGUCUUCUCUUCUGCUCUUUGUGGAGAAUAUUUUCUUUCAGUAAAAUGCAUCAUC
ensembl:lncRNA